AACUGAGCAGUGGGAAAGUGAUGGGGGUUUCUAUUUUUUUUAAUUUAUAAUAAUAGUAAUAAUAAUAAUAACAACAACAUAUAAAACCCGUUUAUUUAUUAAAUAAAUAAAUAAAUUAAUGAAUGGCUCGUAGCCCUAAAACAAAUAAUUAUAUAUGCAGGGUGUUGGUUUCAAGGAGUUAAUUGGCACAGUUUUAGAAGCCAGGGUAGAAAGGGUAAAUAUUGGACUCAAGUUGGAAAGGCUAUGUGGGGGAGGGACUAAACUUGUCAAAAGGAUGAAAGUUUGAAAGGAACACGGAACUUAAACCUGUCAUUCCCUUCCUUCCCGUUUUUCUCUAAACACGCCUAACCCUAAUGCUUCAUUAGCCGCCACCAUUGAUGAAGACAAGCUCGGCCGCCACCUGCCCUGUUGAGUCCGACCGCCGCCUCCUUGACGUUGAAGCUGGAGUCCACCGCACCUAAGAUUGCCGGCGAAGCUGCUACCAGCGACGAAGAGCAGCACGAGGAUGCCAGCAGCGGGCUGUCGCUGCCCUCCUCCGGUGAAACGAGCAAUGUUCGCCACUGUGCAAGGCGUGUGUGUGGAUAUGAAGUUCUCGGUAAUGAUUGUACCCACUCAUAUACUCCUUUCUCUUCGUUCUCUCUGUGAUUUGGAAUAGUUUAUGUCGGCAGGGGCUACCGGUGGUUUUAGAUCACCGUUGUUGGUGUUUCCGAUCGGUACCUGCCACCAUAGUGGCUGGGUUGGGAGUAAUUCGGUGUCCAGUUCUUGAUUACGAGUGCGUGUGUAUGAUUGCUUGGCUGGGGACAAAGAAGAAACCACCGCCACCACCGUGAGGUGGUGGCUACCGUCAUAACCGCUGUUGUUACUGCUAUUUUGGUGUUGUUGCGACCGCCUUGAGCCACCAGGUGGGUGGCUAGAGUGUUGGAUGCAAUCUGAAGUUUAUGUGUGUGUUUUUUGUCUAGUUGGAAUACCAAGAACAACCACCGCCACCAUGAACCACUGUGUUUUUGGGUGUGUGUUAGCAUUAGUGUGAGUGUGUGGGAUUGGAUAUUUUACUUUGUAACUGUAAUAGUGUCGGAAUAAUGAAAUGAAAUCUCAAAACCACCACCGUAGGGUGGUGGCUGCCGCCUCCUGCCACCACC
rnacentral:lncRNA from 1 species